GGAGCGACAGCUGGAUGAAGGUCAGGCUGAAGACUUUACUAAACGAGCUGAGAGGAGGUGCAUGGCCGUCGCCAGCUCGUGCCGUGAGGCGUCCUGUUAAGUCAGGCAACGAGCGAGACCCCCACCGUUAAUUGCUAGCAUCGACCGCAAGGUUGGUGAGGCUAGUUAGCGGGACUGCUGCCGCUAAGGUGGAGGAAGGAGGGGGCUACGGCAGGUCAGUAUGCCCCGAAACUCCUGGGCUACACGCGGGCUGCAAUGGUAGGGACAAUAAGAUCCAACCUCGAAAGUGGAAGGUAAUCUCGAAACCCUACCUAAGUUGUGACUGAGGGCUGGAACUCGCCCUCACGAAUCUGGAAUCCCUAGUAAUCGCGCGUCAACACCGCGCGGUGAAUACGUCCCUGCUCCUUGCACACACCGCCCGUCGCUUCACCCGAGUUGAUUUUGGGCAAGGUGGCGCCAUGUUGACGCCGUCGAACCUGAGGUCGGCAAGGGGGGAGAAGUCGUAACAAGGUGGCCGUAGGGAAACCUGCGGCCGGAUCA
rnacentral:rRNA from 1 species